GCCAGUCACACUGUUGGAAGAGCUGUGUGACAAAGGAAACUCACUAGGAUGUGAGCAAGUACAGCAGUCACCCUCAUCAGAGGUUUCAGUUCCCCGCGAGGACCUUGACCCAGAAGCAGAUGAUCCUCCCUUUACAUAGCGUCAGAAGGUCAAUAGUAGUGUAAUGCUAUGUCGGUCACAGUGCCUAUGUCAUUCCCCUCGUUUCAUCUCAUCACGUAGGCAUUUUAUCAUUUCACAUCAUCACAAGAAGGGGGACCAGGUGGCAGUCAUAACACAGUGACACUGCCUGCAUAUUUACACUCCUUAAAAGUACCAACGUCAAAAUUCAAAAGUGACAGCAACUUGGAAGAGAAUCACAGAAUCAAUAGAUCAGUCUUUUGAGGAAUGCUGCAUCACCAGUGAUCUCCAUGGCAUAAAGAACACUAUUGCAUGGAAAAAUACAACUACCAACAACCUGAAUUAAAGUAAUUCAAAAGAACUUGAAAUUUUAGGAAUACUUUAUCCAAUGUCACUUACAUUUUGUUGGUCAUGUAUGCAAAUGAGUGAUAUAUGAUCAUGUACGAUGCAUGAUCAGUAUGAUUAAAAAUAUUAUGUCAAAUAAAUAUA